CAAUUUUUCCAUUUUUCCCGCCUUUCCCAAAACCCCAAUUCUCUCUCUCUCUCUCUCUCUCUCUCUCUCCACUACAUUCAUUCUUUCAUUCUAUCCGAUCUGCUCUCAGUAAUACACAUUCAUACACACAGACAGUUGCACAGCCCAGUAAUCAAACCCUAAACGGAGAUCCGGCACUGCAAAUAUGAAUCAGUACCACAUCUAUGAAGCUAUUGGCCGGGGCAAAUACUCGACCGUUUACAAAGGAAGGAAGAAGAAGACGAUCGAGUAUUUUGCUAUCAAAAGCGUCGAUAAGUCACAAAAGAGAAAGGUUCUUCAAGAAGUUCGGAUUCUUCAUUCUUUAGAUCACCCAAAUGUACUAAGGUUCUAUUCAUGGUAUGAGACUUCUGCUCACCUAUGGUUGGUCUUGGAAUAUUGUGUUGGUGGAGAUCUCAUGACUUUGUUACGCCAGGAUAGUCAACUUCCUGAGGAUUCAAUACAUGAACUUGCUUGUGAUCUUGUCAGGGCUUUACAGUUUUUGCAUUCAAAAGGAAUUAUUUACUGUGACCUAAAACCAUCAAACAUCCUUUUGGACGAGAAUGGGCGGACCAAGCUCUGUGAUUUUGGAUUGGCAAGAAAAUUGAGUGAUAUAUCUAAAACUCCUUCUUCUCUGCUGCCACAGGCAAAACGUGGAACACCCUGUUAUAUGGCACCUGAGUUGUUUCAAGAUGGAGCAGUUCAUUCUUAUGCUUCUGAUUUGUGGGCCCUUGGUUGUGUGCUUUAUGAGUGUUACUCAGGGAGGCCUCCCUUCGUGGCGAAGGAGUUUACACAGUUAGUAAAAUCUAUCCUCUCUGAUCCGACUCCACCUCUUCCUAGUAACCCAAGCCACUCUUUUGUCAAUCUGAUAAACUGUCUUCUGGUAAAAGAUCCUGCUGAAAGGAUACAGUGGCCUGAGCUUUAUGGCCAUAGUUUUUGGAGAACAAAGUUCACUCCUGUGCCUCUACCUCCUCAGCCUGCUUUCACCAACAUGAUAGAACUUUCUGCUAGGAACUAUCUUUCAGAGCGCAAUGGUGAUAAGCCCCUCCAACAUAAGACACCCCCCAAAUAUCGUGAAAAUGAUUCAAAGGGAGUUCCUAAACAGGACGAGAACUCUAUUUCAGGGGCAAGAGGUUUUGAGACACCAGUUAAGAAUGUUCCUGCGGGCCGAAAAACUCAAACUAGGCCUUCUAGCAGAGUUACUGAGGAGAAGCAGAAAGAUGCUUCAAGUGCCACAAGGGGUGUGAAUCUUCUAAGGCUCUCAAGGAUAGCAAAAUCAAACCUGCAGAAAGAAAAUGAGAAAGAAAAUUAUCGGAGGCCCUUGCCCAAUAGUACCGAAAAUGAUGCUGAAGUUAAAAUUGAGAACAAUGACAUGGAGCUUGAUUUUAAUGAGAACACUGAGGAUGAAACACAGGACGAAACAGAUGGAUGUGAAAAUUCUACUCCUACUCAUGUUGAGAAACUUCCAAGUAUAGAUAAGGACAAUGGCAAAGUGGAAGAGACUGAUCAUAGUACAGUCCACAUGGAUAUCUCUCCAGAGAUCAAUGUGGCUGUCUCUGAUGACCCAAAAACACUUGAGCAGGAAUCUGGUUCAGAACACAUUGAAGUAGUUGCUACUCCGCCUGGUGGUGGUCCCCAAAGAAAGGCUCAAAGGGUUAAAGCAGUGUCAGGGAAUGCAACUGAUUCUGAUUCCUCAAGACCAUCCAAUAACCUUUCACAGGUGCUUUGGCAUCCAUCAGAUCUCUCAGUGAGACCUGUAAUGCCCAGCAGAAGAGGUGAUAAAGCUUCAGAGGCAACUUUAUCACUUCCCUUUGAUGCACCAAUAGCAUCUGAUUUUGUGAAAUUGUCCAAAGAGCAACUUGAUGUACUCAACACUCGUAUAAUAUCCAUUCUGAAUGGCAACAUCCCUGUUGGAGAGAAGCAGAACACAAUUAGAUAUCUUGAAAUGUUAAGUGGGAAUGCUGAUGCUGCAAAUAUCUUAACCAAUGGGCCAAUUAUGAUGGUCCUUGUCAAAAUGCUACGACUAUCAAAGGCUUCUACUCUGCGCGUUCAACUUGCUUCAGCUAUUGGGUUGUUGAUUCGACAUUCAACCUUCAUUGGAGAUGAUAUAGCGAGUUCUGGUAUUUUGGGGGCAUUAACAGAUGGACUUAGAGACAAACAGGAAAAAGUGAGGAGGUUUUCUAUGGCUGCUUUGGGUGAGUUGUUGUUCUAUAUAUCCACUCUAAAUGAUCAAGCCAAGGAUAGUAAUCCUCCAGAAUCUCCAUCAAAGGAUAGCCGAUCUGCAUCUGGGUGGCAGGUUCCAAGUCCAGUAAUUUCACUGGUGUCAUCCAUUUUACGGAAAGGAGAGGAUGAUGUAACUCAGCUUUAUGCUUUGAGAACAAUUGAAAACAUUUGCAGUCAAGGUGGGGAUUGGGCAGCUCGGUUUACCAGCCAGGAUGUGAUUGGUAACCUCUGCUAUAUAUUCAAGGCCCCUGGGAAACAGGAGAGUACAAGGCUAACUGCAGGAUCUUGUUUGGUUCGGCUGGUUCUUUUCAACCCCCCUAGCAUUCAAUCAGUCAUGGAGAAACUUUCAUUUAAGGAUGCUGCAUCUGCUUUUGUCAAAGGCGGUCAACGGGAGCAGCAGAUCAACUUGAACCUUCUAAACAUGGCCAUGAUUGGAAGUCAUAUGUUCACAAACAUUGGCCGGCACCUUCUGUCCUUAGUGGAAGAGAAGAAUCUAGUGCCGAGUCUUUUAUCACUAGUUGAGCAGGGAAGUGAAGUCCUUCGUGGGAAGGCACUUAUUUUUGUGGCUCUCCUCUGUAAGAAUGGACGGAGGUGGCUUCCUCAUUUCUUCUGCAAUGUGAAGUUUCUCUCUGCAAUUGAUAGGUUGGUGAAAGAGAAGGACAGCUAUUUGCAGCAGUGCAUGGGGGCCUUUGUGCAUGUUGUGUCCUCUGUUGUGCCUGGUCUACUGGAGAGUAUAACUGGAGAUAUUCAGCAAAUGAUGAGUGGGAGACGUCAUGGGCAGGUUGCUGCUCUGAACAGUCGAGCCACUAAAAUCAAUGUUCAUUUGUUUCCUGUGGUGCUCCACCUGCUUGGAAGUUCAUGCUUUAAAAGCAAAAUCAUCAGCCAUCAGGUGCUGGAGCAAUUGGCGAACCUCAUCAAGCUUAUUGAGUCACCUUUUCAGGGCAGAGACGAUUUCCAAAUAACACUUCUGCGAAUUCUUGAGUCCAUCACAGAGGAGCCCUCCAUUGUUCUUGAAGACCCCAAAAUUUUCACCACUCAAAUUCUCCCUAGUCUGGCUGUGUUGUAUAAAGGAAACAAAGAUGGAGAUGCCAGGUUCCUUUGCCUGAAGAUAUUCUUUGAUGUGAUGGUUAUUGUCUUGAAUGAACCAUCAGAAAAUGAGCAAAGAAGAGGGGACUUAAAGUCUAUUUCUUCUGCCCAUUUUAUCCCAUUGUACACUAGCUUUAUGGAGGACGAAGAUCCAAUUCCCAUGUAUGCACAGAAGCUCCUUCUGAUGCAAAUUGAGUUUGAUUACAUAAAAAUUCCGGACAUCCUACAUCUGAAAGCGGUCUCAAAGUGCUUUGAAUUUCUUCUUGGUGAUCUGUCCAAUGCAAAUGUUAAUGAUGUUAAUCUCUGUUUGGCUCUCACGUCUGCCCCAGAAAUGGAAACUAAGAUACUCUCUCAACUAAGAGUUGUUAGGAGGAUUGGCAACCUCCUGGAGCUUGUGAAUGCAAAGGAAAUGGAAGAUUUUCUUGAACCUACUCUUGGUCUAUGUAGGGCUUUCCUUAUACGAGCUGUGUGCAGCAAAAAGGACUUCAUAUAUUCAAAGGAACCAGCUCUAUUAGGUGGUGAUAUUUCCCUUGAUGUGAGCAGUGCAGUUGAUUUGCAGCAUUCCAUAAAUGAUAUCGCCGACUUUGGCAAUAGUGUUGGUGUACUGCUGGAAUUGAGUGGAUCCCCUAAUGCACAGAUUGCAGAUUUGGCAUCUGAGUGUGUGAUUUUAUUGCUCAAGGCAGCUCCAAGGGAGGGGACUAAUGGACUUUUGACAAACCUUCCCAAGGUUAUUGGGAUCCUGGAGUCUUGGAGACGUGUUUCAUUUGGCUUACUCUUGCGUCGCAUAUUGCAUGCUCUUGGUUACUCAUGUAGGUUCUACAUGGGCCAUGCAAUGAUAUUGUCAAUAGCAACAUCUGAGAUUACAAAGAUUAAAGCCAUCGUUUCUGAUAUUAAAAACUCAACCAUCCCCAGUGUUGCCAAUGCUGCUUCAGUUGUUGUUCUGGAGUUGCAGCACCUUCCUCAUUGCUUCUGAGGCAAUAAAAUGUUAGUUACUUUCCGAGGCUCAAAAAGCAUGUACUCCUGUGCUUAUUUAAAACAUCAUUAUACUGAAAUUUCAGAAAUUUGCUGUUGUGCACAGGAUUAUAAAUCGCCAAUUUACUACAUAUAAGCUUGUUCAGUCCUUGUUUCCCAAGAUCUCAUCUGAGGUUAUAUUAUCCUCAUAUUGAGUCACAGGGAUAAGAAAUAGAUGGAUGCCUGAACAUAUUAUGUGAGCAGUGAAUUAUUCUUACUGCAAUGUACUCACAGUCUGCAAAGGGUGAUCGGGGAAAUUAAUUGAAUACAUUGUCGGAUCAACUUUCUGAAUAAUCUUGCCCCCAUCAACCUAUUAUUUGUUUAGAGGUUCUAUUUUCUGGUGUGGUGUGACUUUGACCUUGUCUGCAUAUGCUCCAGAGAAUUGAGUUCAUAAAUCCUGCAUCCAGCAGUCAAUUCCAGAAACUUUCUUGUUAGCUAGCUAACUUCAUAUGUAGCUUGAUGUCCCUAUCUGAUGCACUGUAGAUCAAAGUGGAAGCCAGGCUGUUUUAUACAC